rnacentral:rRNA from 1 species
GUGGGGAAUCUUCCGCAAUGGACGAAAGUCUGACGGAGCAACGCCGCGUGAGUGAUGAAGGUCUUCGGAUUGUAAAGCUCUGUUAAUCGGGACGAAAGAGCCUAGUGUGAAUAAUGCUAGGAAGUGACGGUACCGGAAUAGAAAGCCACGGCUAACUACGUGCCAGCAGCCGCGGUAAUACGUAGGUGGCAAGCGUUGUCCGGAAUUAUUGGGCGUAAAGCGCGCGCAGGCGGAUCUGCCAGUCUGUCUUAAAAGGUCGGGGCUUAACCCCGUGAUGGGAUGGAAACUACAGAUCUAGAGUAUCGGAGAGGAAAGUGGAAUUCCUAGUGUAGCGGUGAAAUGCGUAGAUAUUAGGAAGAACACCAGUGGCGAAGGCGACUUUCUGGACGAAAACUGACGCUGAGGCGCGAAAGCCAGGGGAGCGAACGGGAUUAGAUACCCGUGUAGUCC